rnacentral:rRNA from 1 species
CAUCACAGUAGGUGCUCUAUAGUGAGCUGUGUGCUUUCUUGCCUCAUGCACUUGAAUAUUCCAUUUUUCUUAGAAGUUAAAGGACAGUAAUUAAAUUUAAACAUUUCUAGUACAAUCUUUAAUGAAAUACUUUCUUAUUUUGAUCCUGCAGGAAUAUAACUACUUAGUUUCUUACGUUGAUUCUGCAGGAAUAUCAGAUAUG